UGCAAUAAAGAGAAAAAAUAAAAAUGUUUUCAUGGCUCCACUGCUUGCAACAUGAAGACAAUGCUGGCCUUGUCAAUCAAAAAAAAAAAUAAAUUCAUAACAUAUAUUCCAGAGGAUAUAAGGUGAAUUAAAUCUCAACCAUUAUUUACUAUGUAGCUAUAUAUAAAUUUACAGUAAAGACAAACACAGAUUUAUACAAUAAAAAAUAUUAUUAAUGCAAAAUCUCUCUAGAAUACAUCGGCCUCACCUCCUCCACUCCAAGAUUUGCACCUCCUACCCCAUUGCCUCCAUCUCCUCUCCUCCUCCUCCACCGAUCCUUCCUUUGAAACUCCCCUCCACACCCCAGCUAUUUUUCUUUUUCGUCUUCCAAGUUCUCCUUUAAAAGUUGUAAGAUCUGAUCUCAGUCAUAUUACUUGUUUAAUAAAAUAUUCAGGUCCGGAUUUAUAUUUUUGACUAGUUUAAUAAAUAGAUCGGACGGAUUGAUAGAUUGUUGAUUUAUCCUGUAUCCGACCC
rnacentral:lncRNA from 1 species